rnacentral:rRNA from 1 species
GACGAACGCUGGCGGCGUGCUUAACACAUGCAAGUCGAACGGAAAGGCCCUGCUUGCAGGGUACUCGAGUGGCGAACGGGUGAGUAACACGUGGGUGAUCUGCCCUGCACUUCGGGAUAAGCCUGGGAAACUGGGUCUAAUACCGGAUAGGAGCCAUUUUUAGUGUGAUGGUUGGAAAGUUUUUUCGGUGUAGGAUGAGCUCGCGGCCUAUUAGCUUGUUGGUGGGGUAAUGGCCUACCAAGGCGGCGACGGGUAGCCGGCCUGAGAGGGUGGACGGCCACAUUGGGACUGAGAUACGGCCCAGACUCCUACGGGAGGCAGCAGUGGGGAAUAUUGCACAAUGGGCGCAAGCCUGAUGCAGCGACGCCGCGUGGGGGAUGACGGCCUUCGGGUUGUAAACUCCUUUCGCUAGGGACGAAGCUUUUUGUGACGGUACCUAGAUAAGAAGCACCGGCUAACUACGUG